rnacentral:rRNA from 1 species
AUACGGAAGGUCCGGGCGUUAUCCGGAUUUAUUGGGUUUAAAGGGAGCGCAGGCUGAUGAUUAAGCGUGACGUGAAAUGUAGCCGCUCAACGGCUGAACUGCGUCGCGAACUGGUUAUCUUGAGUGAGUUCGAUGUUGGCGGAAUUCGUGGUGUAGCGGUGAAAUGCUUAGAUAUCACGAAGAACUCCGAUUGCGAAGGCCGCCAACCAAGCCUUUACUGACCGUAAAACUUGAAGGUGCGGGUAUCGAACAGGAUUAGAUACCCUGGUAGUCCGCACGGUAAACGAUGGAUGCCCGCUGUUUGCGAUAUACUGUGAGCGGCCAAGAGAAAUCGUUAAGCAUCCCACCUGGGGAGUACGCCGGCAACGGUGAAACUCAAAUGAAUUGACGGGG